rnacentral:rRNA from 1 species
UGGGGAAUAUUGCACAAUGGGCGAAAGCCUGAUGCAGCGACGCCGCGUGAGUGAAGAAGUAUUUCGGUAUGUAAAGCUCUAUCAGCAGGGAAGAAAAUGACGGUACCUGACUAAGAAGCCCCGGCUAACUACGUGCCAGCAGCCGCGGUAAUACGUAGGGGGCAAGCGUUAUCCGGAUUUACUGGGUGUAAAGGGAGCGUAGACGGCGAAGCAAGUCUGAAGUGAAAACCCAGGGCUCAACCCUGGGACUGCUUUGGAAACUGUUUUGCUAGAGUGACGGAGAGGUAAGUGAAAUUCCUAGUGUAGCGGUGAAAUGCGUAGAUAUUAGGAGGAACACCAGUGGCGAAGGCGGCUUACUGGACGAUAACUGACGUUGAGGCUCGAAAGCGUGGGGAGCAAACAGG